GUGCUUGCUCUAACAACAUAUAUAGUAACACUGGAAUGAUACAAAAAAGAUUAUCAUGGUCCCUGUGCAAGUAUAUGAAAAUUUGUGAAGCAUUCCAGAUAAAG